ensembl:lncRNA
CAUUUAAAAUGGUUUAUUUAAAAAGUAAGGAUUAAGUACAUUAUACAUGGUUGUGAUUAUACCAGUAGAACUGAAGCACAGUGGAAAUAACACUUUAGAACUGCAGACAGAAAUGUAGCCUCAAGGGACAUGAUAUAUUAGCCCUUGUGGAUAUGUGAUCCAUACAGAGAGAAAAAGAAACAGAAAAAUAGUUUAUUGUUAGAUGUCUGGGCAGCUGAAGUGAUUUCUCCUUUUACUCCUAUUGUGUAUGAGAAAUAAGGAAGAGAGAGCUCAUGGUAUACCUGAAAUUUUGUUUCUUGGAAAAUCAAAUCUGAUCCAAUAGCAUUUUUUUGUUUUUUUUAGUUCUGUUGCUACAGUAUGUUAUAUACCAAAAGACUGAUUAUUGUUAAUGAUAUGGUUUUAUGGUAUCUGCAGGCCUUGCUGGGAAAUGGGGCUCAUUUGUUCGAUGCUGUCCAGGGAAACCAGAGAGAUGUGGAAGAACAGAUGAUGUUUUUAAACUAUCACUGAGUGGUUUCAAAUCACAAUCUAACUCUGUUCAAAUACAUCAACCAUGGAGCAAGACUGCUCAUGGGCAGGAAUGCUGCAAAUCUUUCAGUUUUGUCAGAAUCAAAGUUUUUCAUGAGAAAGGACUGGGGUUUUGAGUUUUUUGAGUUUUUUUUGUGGUUUUUGUGUUUUGUGUUUGUUUGUUUGUUUGUUUUCUGGAAUUGUCAAAUGAAUUUUUUUUUUUGUUUUGACUUUGGUUGAACAAUUUGCUGCACUGCAACUUAACUGCUGAGUUUUCAGUCGCAGCCCUUGUUCCACAGGACAAAACCUCUGGUCCCUGUUAUGUCCACAUGAUUUUGUUCCCUCUCCAGACCCCAUAAGCAUCCCAUGAUCCCUACCCUAACUCCAUUUUUUGAAGGUGCCUGCUGGAGAAGGAGCAGAUGCUCCAGCUUGGACCAAAACAGGGCACCACUCCUGGAGAGCUGCUGGACCCAGCCCUGCCCUGGGGGAGGAGGCCCUGGCAAAGAGCAACAUCCCAAACGCUCAGCAAGACUUUCUUUUUUUUCUGCCAAAAAUACUGCAUGUGCCUCUGCAGGUCGGAGCUGGGCUGAAGAAAAACCUUGGACUUUGUCUGGAACCAGGUGGGUGGUUUGAAGCACAUUCACUGGAGAACGACGACUAAAAGAACAAAACCCACGGGCGGAGCAAACCUCACACUGUCCACUUCCAGUUCAAGGUACAUGAGUUUAGAGAAACAGCCUAUAUCUAACUCCUGGUUUGAAAAGGGAAUGGUUUUAUUCUUAAUUACAGUAAACACGGAUGAGGACUUAGUUCUAACUAUUAGUUUUUUAACACAGUGGGAAACAAAUAGUUCUGGGAAAUUGCACUUGAAAAAUACAUUGACUAUAAUUAGAUGUAAAUUAAUUAGCACUUAGUAUGACACACUAAUGAGACAGAAGGUUGGUUUUUGUUCAUUGCAAACUUCUACUUCUAUCAUAGCUAAUCAAAGUAUUUUAAUAUUACGAAGUCUCAAAAAGUAGGAAAUAAUUUAUUGUUUGAAAGCAUAAAGAUUCUUGUAAAAAAAACCUUUCAUCAAGAACUUUAAUAAUUUUAGAACCCUUUUAUGUUGUCCUAGCCGAAAAGUAGGUAAAAAAGUUUUCUUUUCUGCCUCUGUUUGAUUUUUUUUUAAAAAGCUUGUGUAACAUCUUUCUCCAUAGUGUGUUGAUACAGAAAGUAGCACAACAUUUUCUAGUUUUAAAUCAUUCCCAUUGCUCCAUUUGCUUUAGCUCUCAGAGUUCAGAGGUUUGAAAAAAGGAUCCCAGCAGAGUUUUAACCUGAAUGGAAACUCUUAAUGAGCAGGGAUGAAGGCUCCAACCCAGCCCUGCCAAAAUAAAGAUGUGGCUGUGCCAGGCCGAGGGCCAGGCAGAGCUUAACAGUGACUAGGGGAAGACUCUCGCUUAAAACUGAGAAUUGUGUCUUGUUUCUUGCAAGGAGAGAGGCUUGAGUGGGUUUCUCUGGGGGGAGAGGGGAUUCAACUUCCUUUUUGGGAUGUUAAGGCAGCUUCUCCAGGAUUUCCCUGGAGGACUUGGUUCCACUAGCUGAAAGCCUCAUAUCCAAACCACCACUGAGUCUCUGGCUCUGGGGCCAUCAUAGGAUAAAUUAAGACCAAAGAGGUUUUAACAGUUUGGCUGAGAUCUCCCACUACCAGUGACCCAAACUUUCCAAAUUAUGGAUUUUUUUCUUGUCACCACUUGUCUAGUGUUCUAGCAGAGAUUUUCUGGGCAAAGAUGAUGGGGAUAUUCCAAGGAAUCUACAGGAAUUAGAUGCUCCUCUCUCACUGCAUCUAAUUCAUCUGAGGGGAAUCGGGCACCUCAUUCUCAUAUGGCUUGGUCAAGUCGUCACUAAAAUCAGAAUGAGUACUAUUAAAUUAAAUUACCUUUGAGUCAGGCCAUCGAGCUUUGAGAUCCAAGCCUAAGUAUAAAAACUGAAAGCAGGAAUUUAUAAGAAAAGAAAAUAACAUUUCAGACUGUUUUAGAAACAUACAGAAGCAAAGGGUACAAAUUAGUUCCCUCCUUACGUGAUGCAUAGAGUUUGCUGUGGGCUCUCUGC